UGUUCAGUGACUCAUACAAACACAUACACGUAAAAUACGCCCCAUCGACGCUACAACGAAUCUACAUAUGCAUAUAUAAAGAAGAAAUAUUGCAGGCUCCAGGAAGAGUGAAUUGCAAGUUCCUGUAAUUUUUGUCAAAGCGAGCUGUGUGGAAGAAUGGAAGUACAUUCAGCUACAAAUGGAGCAACAAAGACAUUGUAAAUAAAAGGAAAUGCCGAAGUUAAAAGUUGUUAAAACAACCAUCUCGACAUCAAAGUAUGAUUGAAAUGAAUGACAAAAUAAAAAAUGCCAAAAUGUUAAAAACGUUGUAAAGUGAAUUAAAGGACCAAAAUUAAUUCUAAUUGAACCAAUAAAAGAUGAUAACCUGUUUUUACUUAA